rnacentral:rRNA from 1 species
GUAGUCCACACUGUAAACGAUGAAUGCUAGGUGUAGGGGGUAUCGACCCCUUCUGUGCCGGAGUCAACACAAUAAGCAUUCCGCCUGGGGAGUACGGCCGCAAGGUUGAAACUCAAAGGAAUUGACGGGGGCCCGCACAAGCAGCGGAGCAUGUGGUUUAAUUCGAAGCAACGCGAAGAACCUUACCAGGUCUUGACAUCCAGUAAAAUCUGUAGAGAUACAGUGUGCUUUCGGGCGUACUGAGACAGGUGGUGCAUGGUUGUCGUCAGCUCGUGUCGUGAGAUGUUGGGUUAAGUCCCGCAACGAGCGCAACCCUUAUUUUCAGUUACUAACGGGUAAAGCCGAGGACUCUGAAGAGACUGCCGGGGACAACUCGGA